CCCUGACUCCUACGGGAGGCAGCAGUGAGGAAUAUUGGUCAAUGGCCGUAAGGCUGAACCAGCCAAGUAGCGUGAGGGAAGACUGCCCUAUGGGUUGUAAACCUCUUUUGCCGGGGAGCAAGCGUGCGUUCGUGAACGCGCGUCGAGAGUACCCGGAGAAAAAGCAUCGGCUAACUCCGUGCCAGCAGCCGCGGUAAUACGGAGGAUGCGAGCGUUAUCCGGAUUUAUUGGGUUUAAAGGGUGCGUAGGCGGGAUGCCAAGUCAGCGGUAAAAAUGCGGGGCUCAACGCCGUCGAGCCGUUGAAACUGGCGUUCUUGAGUGGGCGAGAAGUAUGCGGAAUGCGUGGUGUAGCGGUGAAAUGCAUAGAUAUCACGCAGAACUCCGAUUGCGAAGGCAGCAUACCGGCGCCCUACUGACGCUGAGGCACGAAAGCGUGGGUAUCGAACAGGAUUAGAUACCCGCGUAC
rnacentral:rRNA from 1 species